GCGUUCGUAGCUCAACUGGAUAGAGUACAUGACUUCGAAUCAUGAUGUUGGGGGUUCGAAUCCCUCCGAGCGCACCA
rnacentral:tRNA from 1 species